rnacentral:rRNA from 1 species
CGUAGGUGCGAGCGUUAAUCGGAAUUACUGGGCGUAAAGGGUGCGCAGGCGGUUUGUAAGACAGAUGUGAAAUCCCCGGGCUUAACCUGGGAACUGCGUUUGUGACUGCAAGGCUAGAGUACGGCAGAGGGGUGGAAUUCCGCGUGUAGCAGUGAAAUGCGUAGAUAUGCGGAGGAACACCGAUGGCGAAGGCAACCCCCUGGGCCUGUACUGACGCUCAUGCACGAAAGCGUGGGGAGCAAACAGGAUU